UUCUUCGAAGAAGUGCGACGUACUUGCAUGAUUUAAUCUACACAAAUUCUACGAAUCAACAAAUCAAUAGAAUCGUUUUAUGAUAAAUAUCGUUGCAGGAUGUGUGCAAUAUAUAUUAGAUAGGAAAACAGAAAUAAAAUUGCAGUAAAAUGGCGGCUUUCAAUGUAUACGAACUCUAUUAAACUAUUUCAUUUUUCGUUGCCACAAGUAAAGAAAUAAAGCAUUUUACUUAUUUUUAAAUGGUCCAAAGUUCUGGUUGAUGACGUAUCUUAUGCAGCGGAUGAGACUACCAGCAAUGCUGACUAAUUUUUAAACAGUAGGUCUUACCUUAACCAUAGAGAGCGCUAUCAGCGCCAAAUAACUACCGCUCUAGUAGAAAAUGAGGAUGAAUUGGAACGUUAUAUGCAUACGACCGAAAAGUAUAGCAUACAUCAAAUUCCAGAAUACUCUGUUCUAACGUAAUAUCUAUACUAGCAGAUGAGUUUUCAGACUGAUGUAUAUGAUAAAUUCAACUGAAAUAAAAAAUGAAAAAUGCAGCAAUAUGAUCAGACAGUACGCAAAGUAUUCGAAUUGUAUCUAGAUUACAAAGAUCAACUAGCGCUAGUAUCAGAGCAUUAUCCCAAAUGUGCACUGGAAAGGGAAUGGAUGCUUACCAAGUUAGUCCAAUGGUCGCAGGAAUGCAUCUGUUGGCUGCCAAAAUAUUUUGAAUGAUAGUAAGUAAUCUUCCUAAAGGGAUUUCGGAACGUUCGGUUAAUCGGCCUAAAGAGUUGAACAUGCAAAUUGACGACACGGCACAGGUUCUGGAGACAGACUUGAUAUGGUAACCUUUACCUUUGUUUUUUGCUAAAACAUUCCCGAAGAGACGUCGAAUCUAUCGAUUUUCAUCGUGAACACUAAGAACUUGACUGCGGUGACUGUGCAGAGCGAGAACAUGACGUGGUAUGUAACGAACUCGAAGAAUCUUUUUAAAUUACUGAAACGUGAUAUUUUGGAUGUACAAAAUAAAUUAGUAAAAAUUAUUGAAAGGUCCAAGAACGUUGUUCACCGCUCUCCAGUUGUAC